rnacentral:rRNA from 1 species
UGGCCUACCAAGGGCGUCGACGGGUACCGGCCUUGAGAGGGUGUAACGGCCACAUUGGGACUGAGAUACGGCCCAGACUCCUACGGGGAGCAGCAGUGGGGAAUAUUGCACAAUGGGCGGAAGCCUGAUGCAGCGACGCCGCGUGGGGGAUGAAGGCCUUCGGGUUGUAAACUCCUUUCGACAGGGACGAAGCGUAAGUGACGGUACCUGUAUAAGAAGCACCGGCUAACUACGUGCCAGCAGCCGCGGUAAUACGUAGGGUGCGAGCGUUGUCCGGAAUUACUGGGCGUAAAGAGCUCGUAGGUGGUUUGUCGCGUCGUCUGUGAAAUUCCGGGGCUUAACUCCGGGCGUGCAGGCGAUACGGGCUGACUUGAGUGCUGUAGGGGAGACUGGAAUUCCUGGUGUAGCGGUGAGAUGCGCAGAUAUCAGGAGGAACACCGAUGGCGAAGGCAGGUCUCUGGGCAGUAACUGACGCUGAGGAGCGAAAGCAUGGGUAGCGAACAGGAUUAGAUACCCUGGUAGUCCAUGCCGUAAACGGUGGGCGCUAGGUGUAGGGGGCUUCCACGUCUUCUGUGCCGUAGCUAACGCUAUUAAGCGCCCCGCCUGGGGAGUACGC